AUCACUUUUCGGCCUUUUGGCUAAGAUCAAGUGUAGUAUCUGUUCUUAUCAGUUUAAUAUCUGAUACGUCGUCUAUCUGACAAUGAUAUAUUAAAUAGAUUCUUGGCACUAGGAACUAGAAUAGGAGCUUGCUCCAUAUAUUCCACACAUCAAUCUGGUAUUGCAGUACCUAAAGGAAUGGUGCACCAAAA